rnacentral:rRNA from 1 species
CAGAUGGGUGAGCUUGCUCCCUGAUGUUAGCGGCGGACGGGUGAGUAACACGUGGGUAACCUGCCUGUAAGACUGGGAUAACUCCGGGAAACCGGGGCUAAUACCGGAUGGUUGUUUGAACCGCAUGGUUCAAACAUAAAAGGUGGCUUCGGCUACCACUUACAGAUGGACCCGCGGCGCAUUAGCUAGUUGGUGAGGUAAUGGCUCACCAAGGCAACGAUGCGUAGCCGACCUGAGAGGGUGAUCGGCCACACUGGGACUGAGACACGGCCCAGACUCCUACGGGAGGCAGCAGUAGGGAAUCUUCCGCAAUGGACGAAAGUCUGACGGAGCAACGCCGCGUGAGUGAUGAAGGUUUUCGGAUCGUAAAGCUCUGUUGUUAGGGAAGAACAAGUACCGUUCGAAUAGGGCGGUACCUUGACGGUGCCUAACCAGAUAGCCACGGCUAACUACGUGCCAGCAGCCGCGGUAAUACGUAGGUGGCAAGCGUUGUCCGGAAU